AACGAACGCUGGCGGCGUGGAUAAGACAUGCAAGUCGAACGGGAAAUCUUUGGAGCUUGCUUUGAAGAUUUCUAGUGGCGAACGGGUGAGUAACACGUGAGCAACCUGCCCAAAAGAGGGGGAUAGCCUUCCGAAAGGAAGAUUAAUACCGCGUUAGAUCUCUCAGGACAUCCUGGGAUGAUUAAAGGUGGCCUUUGUGCUGCCGCUUUUGGAUGGGCUCGCGGCCUAUCAGCUAGUUGGUAAGGUAACGGCUACCAAGGCGACGACGGGUAGCUGGUCUGAGAGGAUGAUCAGUCACACUGGAACUGAGACACGGUCCAGACACCUACGGGUGGCAGCAGUCGAGAAUCAUUCGCAAUGGGCGAAAGCCUGACGGUGCGACGCCGCGUGGAGGAUGACGGCCCUAGGGUUGUAAACUCCUGUCAUCAGAGAGUAAUGCUUCGUGGAGUAACUGCCGCGAAGAGUGAUAGUAUCUGAAGAGGAAGGGACGGCUAACUUCGUGCCAGCAGCCGCGGUAAUACGAAGGUCCCGAGCGUUGUUCGGAUUUACUGGGCGUAAAGCGUCUGUAGGCUGUAGAGUAAGUCAGAUGUGAAAUCCCGGGGCUCAACCCCGGAACUGCAUCCGAUACUGCUU
rnacentral:rRNA from 1 species